ensembl:lncRNA
GCGCCAAGCCUUCUCCCGCCGCCUUUGUUCUUGGAGAGAAUCACUCCUAAGUCUCCUCCGGGCGGGGCCCGGCCAACCCCCCCGCCCCGCCCCGUGGUGCCCAACUGGGGCCGCCUCCUCCCGCCCUCGCGGCGCCUGUCCCCUGGUCCCGGCGCCCCCGCUCAGGGCCACCGAAGGGUCUGGGGACUCGGGGAGGGGGGAGGCGCGAUCCGGGUCCGUGGGAGCCUCCCCAGCCCCGCAGUCCCAGCAGCAAACCGAGCGUUGUCGGACGGAUGCUCGCGCGGAGGUCCAUUUCCAGAGCGUCUCUGAGGAAGAACAAGACAGAGAAUUCCUGGUUCAGUCCCUGGAGAAAGUCAACAGGGCAGCGAGUUUCUCUCCCUGGUGCUGCUCUGGAAGGAGGACUCAGUGGGUGGCUGCCUGGAGCCAUCAGGGAUGUGGAAUUGCCUGCUUCUUCAUGCCAAAGAGAGAAGAUGAAGGAAAAGGCUCCAGCCAAUCAAUGAACAUGCACUCCUUACCAUGGCAAAUGGCACUGACUGGCUCAGACCAGCCAUUCCCAACCCCAUCAGCCCACCCCUCAAAUUACUAUCCUCAUAAAAUCUGUAAAAAAUAGAACCCACUUACACAUGUAAUUGCAAAAACAUUAACGCAAUGUAUAAAGGAAACAUCAAAGGAAAUGUACAGUAAAAUACAUUUAUUUCAAGAUAUAUGCUCAGUAUUUGUCAAGUUUUUUGUUUUGGGUUUUUUUGUUUGUUUGUUUGUUUUGCUUUUUGGGGCUGCACCCACAGCAUAUGAAAGUUCCCAGGCAAGGGGUUGAAUUGGAGCUGCAGCUGCCAGCCUACACCGCAGCCACAGCAACUCAGGAUCCCAGCCUCAUCUUCGACCUACACCACAGCUCACGGCAAUGCCAGAUCCUUAACCCACUGAGCAGGGCCAGGGAUCCUAGUCAGGUUCGUUAAAUGCUGAGCCACAACGGGAACUCCAAUUUGUCAAGUAUUUCUGAUUCUAGAGUAUUCUGGAGGACAUAAUGAAACAAUCAGAUGCCUUCACCUCCACAGACAAUUUUCACAGGAGUUCCUGUUGUGGCUCAGCAAUAAGGACCCCGACUAGUGUCCAUGAGGACACAGGUUCAAUCCCUGACCUCACUCAGUGGGUUAAGGAUCAAGUGUUACUGUGAGCUGCAGUGCAGGUCACAGACACAGCUCAGAUUUGGCAUUUCUGUGGCUGUGGCAUAGGCUGUAGCUGCAGCUCUGAUUCGACCCCUAGCCUGGGAACUUCCAUAUGCGAUGAGUGUGGCCCUAAAAAGACAAAAAAGAAAAAAAAAAUUCCACAAAUAUGGCAGUGAUGCAGCAAAGGAAACCAUAAAAAAAAGAAAAAGACAACCUAUGGAAUGGGAGAAAAUAGAUUCAAAUGAUGCAGCUGACAAGGGCUUACUCUCUAAAAUAUACAAUCGACUUAUACAACUCAACAGCAAAAAAACCAAAAACCCAAUUGAAAAAUGGGCAAAAGAGCUGAAUAGACAUUUCUCCAAAGAAGAUAUACAGAUGGCCAAAAAGCAUAUGAAAAAAUGCUC